rnacentral:rRNA from 1 species
GACGAACGCUGGCGGCGUGCUUAACACAUGCAAGUCGAACGGCAAGACCCUGCUUUUGUGGGGUGCUCGAGUGGCGAACGGGUGAGUAACACGUGAGUAACCUGCCCUUGACUUUGGGAUAACUUCAGGAAACUGGGGCUACUACCGGAUAGGAGCUCCUGCUGCAUGGUGGGGGUUGGAAAGUUUCGGCGGUUGGGGAUGGACUCGCGGCUUAUCAGCUUGUUGGUGGGGUAGUGGCUUACCAAGGCUUUGACGGGUAGCCGGCCUGAGAGGGUGACCGGCCACAUUGGGACUGAGAUACGGCCCAGACUCCUACGGGAGGCAGCAGUGGGGAAUAUUGCACAACGGGCGGAAGCCUGAUGCAGCAACGCCGCGUGCGGGAUGACGGCCUUCGGGUUGUAAACCGCUUUCGCCUGUGACGAAGCGUGAGUGACGGUAAUGGGUAAAGAAGCACCGGCUAACUACGUG